AAGCAGGUAGCUUAACCUUCGGGAGGGCGCUUGCCACGGUGUGGCCGAUGACUGGGGUGAAGUCGUAACAAGGUAGCCGUAUCGGAAGGUGCGGCUGGAUCACCUCCUUUUGAGCAUGACGUCAUUCGUCCUGUCGGGCGUCCUCACAAAUUACCUGCAUUCAGAGAUUCAUACCGGCACAGGUCGGUAUGCGAAGUCCCUUUUGGGGCCUUAGCUCAGCUGGGAGAGCACCUGCUUUGCAAGCAGGGGGUCGUCGGUUCGAUCCCGACAGGCUCCACCAUAUUGAGUGAAAAGACUUCGGGUCUGUAGCUCAGGUGGUUAGAGCGCACCCCUGAUAAGGGUGAGGUCGGUAGUUCGAGUCUACCCAGACCCACCACUCUGAAUGUAGUGCACACUUAAGAAUUUAUAUGGAUCAGCGUUGAGGCUGAAACAUGUUCUUUUAUAACUUGUGACGUAGCGAGCGUUUGAAAUAUCUAUCUAAACGUGUCGUUGAGG
rnacentral:misc_RNA from 1 species